GGGAGAAGAGGAGGAGCCCGUCCCCAUUACCUUCCCCCCAGGUGGUGUUUUUGAAGGACAUUGUGUGUUACCUGUCCCUACUGGAGAGGGGCACACCAGAGGACAAGCUGGAGUUCAUGUUCCGGCUGUACGACACAGAUGGCAACGGAGUACUGGACAGCUCGGAACUGGACCGCAUCAUCAAUCAGAUGGUCCACGUGGCAGAGUACCUGGAAUGGGA